rnacentral:lncRNA from 1 species
GUUCCUAUGGCUUUAUGAUGUAUAAAUAUGAAUUUAAAGCAAAGGUCAAAAUCUAGAACGUCCAAUUAACCUUUGACCUUGACCUCAAUUUCAAGGUCAUAGACUAAACAUCUCGAAUCAAAAGACACUAGUUCCUUGAUAUGUAUGGUUCAUGAGUAAUAUCACUUUACGCAUAAUUCUAAAUAUAAGAGGGGCGAAAAACUCCCGUUUGAUGUCUACGCACCCUAGCAA